rnacentral:rRNA from 1 species
UUCGGUGAUUCAAACGAGCUGGCCACACCCGAUCCCAUCCCGAACUCGGUAGUUAAGCAGUUCAGUGUCGAUGAUAGCUGUUCCCAACCCGGAGCCGCAAAAGUAGACCAUCGCCGGAA